rnacentral:rRNA from 1 species
AGUGAACGCUGGCGGUAGGCCUAACACAUGCAAGUCGAACGGCAGCACAGGAGAGCUUGCUCUCUGGGUGGCGAGUGGCGGACGGGUGAGGAAUACAUCGGAAUCUACUCUGUCGUGGGGGAUAACGUAGGGAAGCUUACGCUAAUACCGCAUACGACCUACGGGUGAAAGCAGGGGAUCUUCGGACCUUGCGCGAUUGAAUGAGCCGAUGUCGGAUUAGCUAGUUGGCGGGGUAAAGGCCCACCAAGGCGACGAUCCGUAGCUGGUCUGAGAGGAGGAUCAGCCACACUGGAACUGAGACACGGUCCAGACUCCUACGGGAGGCAGCAGUGGGGAAUAUUGGACAAUGGGCGCAAGCCUGAUCCAGCCAUACCGCGUGGGUGAAGAAGGCCUUCGGGUUGUAAAGCCCUUUUGUUGGGAAAGAAAUCCAGCUGGUUAAUACCCGGUUGGGGUGACGGUACCCAAAGAAUAAGCACCGGCUAACUUCGUGCCAGCAGCCGCCGUAA